UACGUAGGCAGCAAGCGUUGUUCGGAGUUACUGGGCGUAAAGGGUGCGUAGGCGGCUUUUUAAGUUUGGUGUGAAAUCUCCCGGCUCAACUGGGAGGGUGCGCCGAAUACUGAGAGGCUAGAGUGUGGGAGAGGAAAAGUGGAAUUCCUGGUGUAGCGGUGAAAUGCGUAGAUAUCGGGGAAGAAUACCUAUGGCGAAAGCAGGCUUCUGGUCCAUCACUGACGCUGAUCUGCGAAAGCUAGGGGGAGCAAACAGG
rnacentral:rRNA from 1 species